rnacentral:rRNA from 1 species
CUAGCGGCAGGCUUAAUACAUGCAAGUCGAGGGUAGCAUGAUUGUAGCAAUACAAUUGAUGACGACCGGCAAACGGGUGCGGAGCACGUACACAACCUUCCUACAAGUGGGGAAUAGCCCAGAGAAAUUUGGAUUAAUACCCCGUAACAUAGCGAUGUGGCAUCACAUUGCUAUUAUAGCUUCGGCGCUUGUUGAUGGGUGUGCGGCUGAUUAGAUAGUUGGCGGGGUAACGGCCCACCAAGUCUACGAUCAGUAGCUGAUGUGAGAGCAUGAUCAGCCACACGGGCACUGAGACACGGGCCCGACUCCUACGGGAGGCAGCAGUAAGGAAUAUUGGACAAUGGACGCAAGUCUGAUCCAGCCAUGCCGCGUGAAGGAUUAAGGUCCUCUGGAUUGUAAACUUCUUUUAUAAGGGACGAAAAAAGGUCUUUCUAGAUCGUCUGACGGUACCUUAUGAAUAAGCACCGGCUAACUCCGUG